AUUCUGCGUACGAUGAGCAAAUCGCAGCACAGGUUAGAGGGCGAAGAUGAGAUCCUCUAAAUCCGGAUCACCGAAGGACGGUCAGAGCAAAAAUCAACCCAAAGAGACAUUCUGGCAAAAGCGAGUAAGUCAAGUGGAGAGCGUUUCGAAACUGCUACUAAAUAAGAACAAAAGCAAACAAAACGCCAUUAAAGAAACGAAAGACAAGAAAAAACAACAGCAGACCGCCGGCGAACAACUAGAGUGUCUGAAAAAAGCACUAGAGAGUCUAACGCAGAAAGAAGCCGAACUUUCAAAACGUCAACCAAAAGACUCAUCUUUGACUCCGCACCCCAAAAGAAGUCGAAGACCUCCUGAAAAAUGUCAGGUCCGACGACAUCCUCUGCUACUCGGACGGAAAGAACAGCCUAAUAUACUGUCCCUCCGAAAAGGGCAUUAACUUCGACUUCGAUGCCUCGGACGACAAGAGGGGUCGAUCUGCCUCUAAAUCGACAGUAAAGAGAAGUGCCUCACCAGAGCCGCGCGAGAAUAUACGAGGAGGAGAGGAGCCAUACCACCGAGAGGACUGCGAUGGUAAGAACACGCGAGGCGGGUCGUCCAAUCAUCGGAUGAGCGUUGAGAGAAGACAUUCGGAUCGGUGUAAGAGGGAUGAGAAACGGGAACCAAGGGAGUGCUGCAGGAAAGACGUCAAAAAAUCAAGCGAGAAAAAGCCAAAAUGGAGCGAGGCGUGCAAACAAAUCUGUAAGAAGAAAGCGCCACAAGAAUGCCUCAAGGCGGGACACCUGAGCGCCGGUAGAGGCCGGACACGGUCGGACGACGAAGACAGCUUAAAGGAACGGUGCAAGAGGAGAUACUCUGACGUGGAGGAGCGAGGAAAGAAAGGAGGGCGGAAAGAGGAAAAGGACACGAGAUCCCGUGGAAGUCAAGCGAGUCUAAAGAGGUCAUCGGGGCGGCAUGGCUCUCGAGAUAGGGAGCGACAUCGGGAUCGCAACUGCCAGACGGAACCGAAGCGGAGCUGCUCGCGGUCGCGCAAGGAGGACUCGGACCGCGAGCGGAGGCGGAGCAGCCACAGGAGCGGGACCCGCGAGAAGACCGAGGCGGGCAGGUCGGUGUCGCGGGAGCCGGAGACGCCGCCGAAACGGAGGUCGAGCCUCAAGCGGACCUCCCGGGCGCCCGGAGGUCCGGCUCCAGCGGGUACCUCCGGGACAGUUACGGCAACGAACCGUCGCCAUCACUAGGGUACCCAGCGCAGUGUCCAAACUCCACGUACCCCAUGCAGAAUGGCACGAUGCCCGCUUGGAAUUCGACGCUCCCGCCGCAUUCACCGGUUGCUUAUCCCGACGGCUCUUUCGGGGGUCAGUGCGGGUUCGUGGAACCCGAGUUCGACGCCAGUUCCAUCCGCUACCCGCAGGGCCCUGCGAUGAGUACGCCGGUCCCGCGGAGGAAUGCAAGAGUCGGUGGGCAUAUGGAUUGUCCCGCGGGUGGGUACAUGGAGACCCUGCCGGAGCACACCAUGGGGUCGGGUUACCCCAACGCCCGUCCAUGGCCCAUCAUUCCAUGACACCUCUUCCGAUUUUGCGGGGCUCCAGGGGACCGCCUGGCGGUCCUGCGAUGAACGCUUCGGCUCCAGCUAUGUACGGACGUUCCACAUCUUCGAUUCCCGGUCGACCUGUUAGCGUCUCUUUCCCGCCGCAAUCGCCCUUCCAAGGACAACAGUUCCCGAGCCAAGAUCGUCUGGUUUCCACGCCGUCCGGUGGUAUUGUUUGUUGCAAUAGGUGUUGCAGGCCCGCUCCGUGCUGUUGCCCCUCCCAGUUUUGCGCUGUCAAUAAUCAAUGCGCAGCGUGCGCCGACCCCGAGUACUACGAGUGCGGCGAGCACAUCCACGAGACCCCGUCGCCCAUGUGCAACUAUCACCGCUACCUGUGCGACAGGCAGAAGUCGGCCAUCGCCGAGAGCACUGCCGAGCUGGACAACACCUAUCUCCGUGACUGCAUGCCCAUGUCUGCGCCUCGGUUCGACAAGACCAAGUUGUACGCCGACCCCAAAGGCCGCCGUCUCCAACCCAGCCUCAGUUGUCACGGUCUCAGCCCCUCUCAACUCCAGCAUCCUGUUGACCCGCAAAUGAUGAGCCUCCUCUACAGAAGAGGGCGCGAGGAGUACUUGCGGGAGCGAAGCAAGCUGUCACCGGAGGAAAAAUUCGCGUUUCCUGUCCUCUCCUCGCAUUCCUACGGCUGGCGGAUCCUCUGCGCCUACUACCCGCGGAAGACCUACGCCCGGAAGGCCAAGGAUUUCCGGGCCGGGGACGCUGGUCCCAUGCCGUAUACGUAACCAGAAUGGAAGUCAUCGGAAAACUUUGGCGCUGGUGGCGUCAGUGCUUUUCAAUCGAUCCUCGGACACUUCAGUGGCGAUUCGCGCAAUUUGGUAAAACCGGAUCGUAGCUGAUUGGAUAUUUUAGACCCUUGCCAUAAUUGGAUCGAACUAAGAAUCACCAUUAAGUAUCUCGGAAAGGAGUCGGAAGUACCAUGAGUGCGAUGUAAAAUCCACUCUUUGUGGAGUGAGCUUCGCUCUUUCGGAGCAGAUCUCACUCCAUAUUCAAAUCUCUAAGGUCCUCUACUGGAGGCGGGAUAGGCUUUGGAAUGAACUCUGAACUUAGUUCCGAAGUUUCCAUCACUGCAGUCGCAAGUGCAACAACUUAGGACUCCUAACACGUGUCAGAUGGGGCGCAUUUGAAAUCGGACGGCGAAAAAGAUAAAGAAAAAAGGGGGAAAAGAGUAAAAAGAGAGAAGUAGAAGGAGUGGAGAAGAUGGGAGAAAAGGAGAGGAAGCUAAAAAGGUUGAAGAAGAAGAAGAAGUAGAGUAAAAGAGGAAGACAAACAAGAAACAAGAAAAGACAACUGUACCAGAUUAUCUUUGUUCAUCUUUUUCUCUUUUUAUCUCCUCCUCUUCUCCGUCUGCCUCUUUUGGUCUUCUUCUUCUUUGUCUGGUUCUUCUUCUCCUUCGAUUUUUCUCGUUUUCUUAUUUUUCAACUUCUUCUCCCUGUCAUUCUUCUUUUCCUCGUUCUGUCUCUAAUGUUUCCUCAUCUGGCAUAUGCUAGGAUUCCUACGAUCUAGGUCUGCCAGACUAUGAAUGGUUAAAUGCUUGGAAAGAAUCGAUUUUAAUCGAGGAUGGUUCUCUCCUCGAGUCAAUCAUUUUAAUUGAUUUUAAAGGAGAGAAAGCAAUAUUCACAACUUGCCAGAAUCACCGCUGGAAGACAUGAACCGUUGGGACUUACACUUGGAGUAAACUAUCUCACUACGAAAGACGAUAUGUGUGAAACACUGGAGAUCUUGAAUAUAUUAGAGCUUACAUAUCAAAGCAGAGAAGGACCCAUUUGACAUCUAUUAGUGAAACUCUAUGAAAACCAAAACCCAUUUUUGGCUUUGGCUGCCUAUGAGCAAAAUAUUAAUGGCUAAUUUUGGAGAGGGGUAUUCUUAUUGCUAACAUAGUUAAUUAUCUCCUUAUGCAUACUUAUAUUCAAUUUAUGCAGAAUUACAUAAGAUUUAUUACAACCACUUUUAUUUUGUCGAAUAGCUUUCCUCAUCCAAUUUUAAUAGGUGGAUUAUCUUAAUUUUUCUAUUUGUUUCGUUGAACUAAAUCUCCGGUUCAUAGGUACCGCGCUCUCAGUUCAACAAACUGAAUUUCAGUUCUGCCAACCAACGAGAUCGCGAAAAGUUCGAAUGGUCGAUGGCUCAGUCCCCUGAGCCAGAAGUGCUCCAAUAGAAUUUAUCCGCUCGUAUGAGUGAAGUUUGUCAUCGUGCGAAAUGCCGUGAAAUAGAGUCUCUAGACAAGGUAUAAAGUAAACCACUCCGCAACAAGUCUUCUUUUCAAAAUUUCUAGAGGUAAACGAAUCGCACAACAGGAAGUUUGAAAAUCAACUCCUAAAAAAAUAUCAGUGUUUAAAAUUUAUAUCGGUUAAAUAACAAAUCUAUAUUUCACGUCAUUUGUGUAAUUUAACUUCCAUUUUGCCUAUGCUAAAAAUACUUGUUAAUAACUGCUUCAGAGUUGAUUUCUGAACUUUCCUUUGUCCGGAUUGUUGUCUACGUAAGAUUUUGAAGGGGAAACAUGCGACGCACAGUGGAUCAAGUCAAUUAGAGAGGUCGGACAUGAAAUUUCAUAUUAAAACUGCG
rnacentral:lncRNA from 1 species